GUGAGAGUAGAUUUCAUUUUGUUGCCAAGCGGCUAUAGAAAGGGAAGCACUAGGGCUCAGCAGGGAGUAUCUCCUCUGUAAUUCCUGUGUGCAGGCAGAGCUGUUCCUCAGAACCCCUGGCCGAUUUGGUGCUUUCAAUGAAAAGGAAUUGUAGACAACAGU
rnacentral:lncRNA from 1 species